rnacentral:misc_RNA from 1 species
GAAAUGCGAUAAGUAAUGUGAAUUGCAGAAUUCAGUGAAUCAUCGAAUCUUUGAACGCACCUUGCGCUCCUUGGUAUUCCUGGAGCAUGCCUGUUUGAGUAUCAUGAAAUCUUCAAAGUAAAUCUUUUGUUAACUCAAUUGGUUUCUACUUUGGUAUUGGAGGUCUUUGCAGCUUCACACCUGCUCCUCUUUGUUCAUUAGCUGGAUCUCAGUGUUAUGCUUGGUUCCACUCGGCGUGAUAAGUUAUCUAUCGCUGAGGACACUGUAAAAGGUGGCCAAGGUAAAUGCAGAUGAACCGCUUCUAAUAGUCCAUUGACUUGGACAAUACUUUUAUGAUCUGAUCUCAAAUCAGGUAGGACUACCCGCUGAACUUAAGC